UAGCCUUGACAUACUACAGAAUUUGACAGAGAUGUUGAAGUGCCUUCGGGAGCUGUAAUACAGGUGCUGCACGGCUGUCGUCAGCUCGUGUCGUGAGAUGUUGGGUUAAGUCCCGCAACGAGCGCAACCCUCGUCCUUAGUUACUAACGGUUCGGCCGAGGACUCUAAGGAGACUGCCUUCGUAAGGAGGAGGAAGGUGAGGACGACGUCAAGUCAUCAUGGCCCUUACGGCUAGGGCAACACACGUGCUACAAUGGUUAGGACAAUGAGAAGCGAUACCGCGAGGUGGAGCAAAUCUAUAAACCUAAUCUCAGUUCGGAUAGUAGUCUGCAACUCGACUGCUUGAAGCUGGAAUCACUAGUAAUCGUAAAUCAGCUAUGUUACGGUGAAUACGUUCCCGGGUCU
rnacentral:rRNA from 1 species